UCGUGAUUAUUGGGUCUAAAGGGUCCGUAGCCGGUUUGGUCAGUCCUCCGGGAAAUCUGAUAGCUCAACUAUUAGGCUUUCGGGGGAUACUGCCAGACUUGGAACCGGGAGAGGUAAGAGGUACUACAGGGGUAGGAGUGAAAUCUUGUAAUCCCUGUGGGACCACCUGUGGCGAAGGCGUCUUACCAGAACGGGUUCGACGGUGAGGGACGAAAGCUGGGGGCACGAACCGGAUUAGAUACCCGGGUAGUCCCAGCCGUAAACGAUGCUCGCUAGGUGUCAGGCAUGGCGCGACCGUGUCUGGUGCCGCAGGGAAGCCGUGAAGCGAGCCACCUGGGAAGUACGGCCGCAAGGCUGAAACUUAAAGGAAUUGGCGGGGGAGCACAACAACGGGUGGAGCCUGCGGUUUAAUUGGACUCAACGCCGGACAACUCACCGGGGGCGACAGCAAUAUGUAGGCCAAGCUGAAGACUUUGCCUGAAUCGCUGAGAAGUGGUGCAUGG
rnacentral:rRNA from 1 species